CCAGACUCCUACGGGAGGCAGCAGUAGGGAAUUUUCGUCAAUGGGCGCAAGCCUGAACGAGCAAUGCCGCGUGAGUGAGGAAGGUCUUCGGAUCGUAAAGCUCUGUUGCAGGUCAGAAAAGAAGGAAAGAGGAAAUGCUUUUCUUUUGAUAGUAACCUGCCAGAAAGUCACGGCUAACUACGUGCCAGCAGCCGCGGUAAUACGUAGGUGGCAAGCGUUAUCCGGAAUGAUUGGGCGUAAAGGGUGCGCAGGCGGCGUGGCAAGUCUGAAGUGAAAGGUACGGGCUCAACCUGUACAGGCUUUGGAAACUGCCACGCUCGAGGACAGGAGAGGGCGGUGGAACUCCAUGUGUAGCGGUAAAAUGCGUAGAUAUAUGGAAGAACACCAGUGGCGAAGGCGGCCGCCUGGACUGUUACUGACGCUCAGGCACGAAAGCGUGGGGAGCAAAUAGGAUUAGAUACCCUAGUA
rnacentral:rRNA from 1 species